ACGAAAAUUCAUUUUAUUUCAACAACACUCAUCUACCACACCUAAAAUGAGUUCACUAGUAUUCACUUUUAAAAGAUGACAUCACUCACCUAAAGUCAUAUUUCUAAUUCCUUCUCACUUACCACCGUGGCCCACUCCAUCACUUACCAAUUUUUAAGAUAAAACCUCAACCCAAAAAUAUAUACUCUUUCUUCUUUGCAUCCAGAAAACAACUAUGGCACUACAAUUAUAAAAAAAAUAUAGAAAAACAUCAUCCUUGAAAUCCUUAGCGUGGGACCCACAUCUUCCCUUCCAUUUCACAAGAAAGAUCUAUAUUAUAUUAAUAUAAUAUAGAUAUACGUAUUGUUUACUUUAUUACAUAAAUAUCUAUAUUAUAUUAAACUAAUAU
rnacentral:lncRNA from 1 species